GCGAAAGCGGGAGCUACGGGGAAGCGAAGAGGAAGGGCGCCGGCAAAUGGGGGCAGGGCCAGUGGCGAGAACAGGGCUUUUCCUGUGCUUCAGCUCCCUGGAAACUGGCACUGCAGAAGGAGGCAAGGGUGUUAAAACGAGGAGGCAGUGUCAGGACAAAAUCCCAGGAUCUGGAACCCCAAAUACUUGGCUCGCGGGAAGUGCUCAGUAAACCCUUUUAAGGUGCUGGAGAAAGAUUCGCGCAAAAAGAGGUGUAGCGCGGGGGGAGUGUUUUGUCGUGAAAAGAACCAGCUUACAUUAAGGAAGAAAUGAAAGAGGAAAUUUUAAAAUGCUAAUAACGCAGUCUUCUUGCCUUGUCUCUAUCUCUGAUCCGGGUAAAAUGUAUACUCCUCUGCCCAUUUUUCUUUGUCUUCAUCUCCUGAAAUGUAGACAUUUAAUAGUGAGCUUCUCCCCUUGACCUCAUCACUCUGCUGUCCCCUGGGGAGCUCACCCAUUCAUUCCCACCGCUUCAGCCAGCAAAGGUAUUACAGUGAUUCCAAAUCGACAUCUCUAUCACAAAUAUCUCUCCUUAGCUCCAGGGCUGCAUUUCUGACUCCCAGAUAGGCAUUUAUUUCCUGUGGCACUUAAAACGUAAUAUGGCUAAAAUGGAAUUCAUCCUUUUUUUUCCAAAUUCUGCACCAGUUCCUCCAGUGACCCCUGAGUGGCAAAGCUUUGUAAACUGCAUAUCACAAGGUAAAUGCAAAGUAUGAUCACCAUUCUUUUCCUUUAACCCAAUCAGAAUUCUACGUUUUAGUUGCAUCAAUUUGCUUUUGCUUAAAGAUGCGUCCUAUCCUGACCACCCCUUUUAAAUGUGCAAAAUUCCUAUUCCUGAUCCCCUUAUUCUGUUCUACUUUUUAUAUCACCUUGUAACAUACUAUAUAAUUUAACUAUUUAUGUUUGUUGUGUUACUGUUUACUGUCUGUCUUUCCCCACUGGAAUGUAAGCUCUGAGAGAACAGAGAUUUCUCUGUACCUAAAACUUUGACUGUCAUGUGGUAAGCAUUCAAUAAGUGCUUGUUGAAUGACAAAUGAAUUCCGGAAAAUAAUUGGGACAGUAUCCCUAUUUGAAAGGAUCUCUACAGAGAGUCCUUCCAAUCUUUUGAAUUGGGCUCAAAAAUCCCUAUGGACUUGCGUGUACUCUCACAUUUUGACAACCUUUUGAUUGUAAACAUUUUCUGAUAUGCUUGAGCUUCCUCAAAGCUGGAAAAACAAAUAAGACAUCUCAUUAGCUGGGCAUAGUAGCACAUGCUUGUAGUCCUAGCUACUUGGGAAGCUAAAGAAGGAGGAUUGCUUGAUCCCAGGAGUUCAAGGCUACAGUGAGCCAUGAUUAUGCCACUGCACUACAGGCUGAGUGACAGAGCGAGACCCUUUCUCUAACCAAAAAAAAAAAAAAAAAAAAAAGUAGAAGAAGAAGACAUCUAAAAUUAAUCAUAUUUCCUCAACUUUACUUAUAUAAUUUUUGUCCUGGAUCUCAUUUUCCAAACCUUUAGUCAUGUUCAUUAUUCUUUUCUGGGCCCUUUCCAAUUUCUUCACCUCUAAGCCAGAAUUUUACACAAUACUUGAUGGAUGUCAAGUGCAGUAUAAUGCAUUCCUUACAAAUGUAGUUCUAUUUAUACAAUCAGGAAGAACCAGGAGAUAAUCUCUCUGUAGUUGACAGGAAAGUGCUUCCUUCUCCGCCCCUGGGAGGUAAUAAGAUAGAAAAGAUAGUUGACCAAAAAAAUCUUACAACUUUGUUUUAUCUAAAAUAAUGGUCAAAUUGAAAUUAGCCUUUUCAGAUCCCCUGUAAAAUUACCCCUUCUUCCAGACCAGCCUGGCCAACAUGGUGAAACCCCAUUUCUACUAAAAAUACAAAAAAUUUGCCGGGCGUGGUGGUGGGCCCCUGUAAUUCCAGCUACUCAGGAGGCUGAGGCAGGAGAAUCGCUUGAACCCAGGAGGCAGAGGUUGCAGUGAGCCGAGAUCACGCCAUUGCACUCCAGCCUGGGCAACAAGAGUGAAACUCCAUUUCCAAAAAAAAAAAAAAAAAAGGAGAAAAAAGAAAAAAACCCUUUUAACAUCAAUUUAUCUGAAGCAGAAAAUGAUUAAGAGUUUCUUAUAGGACCUGAGAUCUGGUUCUUUUCCUUUAAAAAGAUGAAGUUAUAGGAAAAAGAAAUUCAAUAAUGAAUCUGGUAUUUGUAUAAACCACCAAUGCAUUAUCCUAGUCUUCAGGGAGAUCACCCAUGUCCAGAUAUUGAGUUUUGUUUUAUCUAUUGCCCUCUUAAGAUGCAUUUCUCACUCUUUUUUACCUCUUUACCCAUAUACUGAAUGCAAGAGAAACUAGCCUCGUUUCACAUUUUCUAGUAAUACAUGGUUAAAUUAUGUUCAGGGAGUGAGAUUUUAAUUGUCUUUUCUGUAGAUUCCAACCUGAAGGGAAGCCAAGGUAUUCAUAGUCACAGUUACCAAGGACUGUAUCAUUCAAAUAAGUACCUUGGGUUCACUCAUACAUGGUUCUUUAAGUUGCAGUUAAUCCCAAAGGUGCAAGGUACAGCUAGUGGUAGCACUGUUUUCAUGAGCUCUUAGAACAAAAGUCAAACCUCAUGAGAAAGUGCAUUUAAAUUCCUAAGUGACCCCAGAAGUGGUGUUUGUUUUUCCAAAGAAAGAGCCAUUUUCCAUAUGCACCUUGGAUAAAUGAUGUGGAUGUUAUUAAAGAUGGGGAUAAUGGUCUCUAAAGCGUUUCCUACUGAGAUGUUAUUUGUGAAGACUCAUCACGUUUCCCAGGCUAGUUCACUGAAUAGAGAAAGCACUGCUAUCCCAGACUCAUCUUCAAGCUAAUUGACUUUAUUACAUGCCACCCAGCUCCACGAGUAUCUUCACACACUGCUUAUCCACAUCUCCAUUUUCCAUGCAGAUUCUCCCUCGAUCUGGCACACUGUUCUUUCCCACCUGGUUCAAAAUUCCACUUUCCUUAGGAAUAUGCUCCUGACUAUUAUAGAUAUUUAUGAGAUAUAUAUCUAUUGUAGGCACAAAACCUUUCUUCGAGCUAUUUAUAUUUCGUACAACCUCUCUGGGUAACACAUUCUAGAAGUUUACUACCUGCCGAGUAAACUAGUACUUUCAAUAUUGAAAUCGCAUCCUGUUUACUUUUUUUUUCAUUACCAAAGUGGUAUGAGCUCAUUGUAAGAAAUUCAAACAAUAAAAAAAAGUAUUUGUCUUGAA